ensembl:lncRNA
UUUGUGUCGUCUGUGUCAUGUUUGCACUUUGUUCGGGUUCUUUGCAUGUCUAACUCUUUGCUUUGACACACUCUGUCCUUGAGGUGUUGGCUGUUUUCCAUCUCGGUCACGUUUGGACUUAAUGCUGGUCACUUGUCUGUGUCAUUCAUGGCUUUGACAUAAAUUGAAGACAUGGGACUUUGAUCGUUUGCUGAUGUAGCAGUUUUGUUUCUUUCUUUUACAUGCCGAGAGACUGAGAUGUGCAGUGGACGAUUAAAGACACCGUCGUUGCCAUCCAUAGAGGUGAGUCACACACAUUGACGGAAGCGAUGGCCGUUUUGUGUUGUCUGUGUCAUGUUUGCACUUUGUUCGGGUUCUUUACAUGUGUAACUCUUUGCUUUGACACACUCUGUCCUUGAGGUGUUGGCUGUUUUCCAUCUGGGUCAUGUUUGGACUUUAUCCUGGUCACUUGUCUGCGUCAUUCAUGGGUUUGACAUAAAUUGAAGACAUGGGACUUUGAUUGUUUGCUGAUGUCGCCAUAUGUUUUGUUUCUUUUACAUGCCGAGAGACGAGAUCUGCAGUGGACGAUUAAAGACGACGUAGACAUCCAUAGAGGUGAGUUAAACACACUCAUGGAGGAGAUGGCUGUUGUAUUUCUGCUUCAUGUUUGCACUGUUUUCCGGUGACUUGCAUUUCUGCUUUAGUGCUUUCCACUUUGCUGUUUUCUCACACUUAGCUAUUUUCACACUAUGUUCUUUUCUCACACUUUGCUAGUUUUCAUAUUUUCUCACACUUUGUUCUUUUUCAUCUUUCCUAUUACUUUGGUAUUUUCUCAAUUAGUUCAUUUUCCUAUUACUUUGCUAUUUUCAGAAUUUGUUCUUUUUCCUC